UACAGAGGGUGCAAGCGUUAAUCGGAGUUACUGGGCGUAAAGCGUGCGCAGGCGGUUUUGUAAGUCAGAUGUGAAAUCCCCGGGCUUAACCUGGGAACUGCGUUUGAAACUACAAGGCUAGAGUGUGGCAGAGGGGGGUGGAAUUCCACGUGUAGCAGUGAAAUGCGUAGAGAUGUGGAGGAACACCGAUGGCGAAGGCAGCCCCCUGGGUUAACACUGACGCUCAGGCACGAAAGCGUGGGGAGCAAACAGG
rnacentral:rRNA from 1 species